GAGAGGAAGGUGGUAACCUAAUAACACGUCAGCGACUGGUAUGUUUGCUUGCCCUUUUUUAAUUUGCUUCUCAAUGUAUUUUUUCCAUUUGAGUUUUCUGUUGAUAAGCCUCAGAGUUUUGGUAGGCGCCUAGUGGUGGAACGGUUGAGCCGGAAUCGCGAUUGAGAUGUGAUGUUAGUGGGCCAUUGUGCAUCUUUUUUAUAUUUUGGGCAAUGCGAGCACGCUAGUGCCAGUAUGCGCGGUUUCUGUUCUUAACGUACUUAUAGAUCGCUACGUUAUUUCAUUUUUGAAAAUCUGAGCCCGGGGAGUGCGGAUCCAUACAUACAUGUAAUUUGUUGUUGCAGUAUUGCUAGAGUACAUUUUUCUCCGCGAUUGUCUGUCUUCUUUACACCAGUUCUGUUUUCCGUCUCAACCUCUUCAUUAUUAUGGAAAGCAUCUACCAUUACCACACCCACACACGAACGUUAAGGCUAAUCGUUAUUAGUUGAAUCUCCAUAGCCAAGCUCUUUUUUUUUUCAAUGUUUUCCGUCGCUUUCCAAGUGACAGAAAAAAAGGAGUUUGAAUUAGGCUUGCAAAAGGGGCAAUAUCAAUGAUACUGUCACCCUUAAUGUCUGAUUUAUCGUCAACUCUGUAAAGGAAACAAGAGAGAGAAAGGUUGGUGGAGAUUAAAUCUGUAGAAAGAGGAAGGUUUAUUCUAGUUAUUCCAUUUUUCAGUAGAUUUUUGCCUUUUACUAGAAUUAAUUUAACCAAUAUAAAAGGUUCAAGGAAAAAUCUAUUCACUGAACUUAUUAGAAAACCUCAAAUGUGUUGGAUGCAUUGAAAAGAUUAACCAAAAAAAAAAAGGCACGCAAGCAGGUCAAAAGACUAGGACUCCCUUCGUUUCCUUUCCCAUUUUGCCUCAAGCAUCGAAUAAGUUUGCGAGCAAAACAUAACCGGGCAAAUGUUACAAGAGAAAAUACAUGAUUUGGGAUCUUCUUGGAUGGAUUUGUUUACAUAUUUCUUUACUCAUUUUUUGAGGAUCAAUACAAUAUUCUUGUCCCAUCCUUGCUAAAGUAAAGAACGGGCAUUAAUUUCCGAACAGAAAGAAUUGUGUGUUCACUUUAUGGUUUUCGCAUUGUACUUUUCCUACUUGCAUUAGCAGUUGUUUGGCUCACUACUUUUUUCGAUGCUCACGAAUAAUUUUUGGAACCUCAUUU
rnacentral:telomerase_RNA from 16 species